CGCGUAGGCGGCCUCUUAAGUCAGAUGUGAAAGCCCGGGGCUUAACCUCGGAAGUGCAUUUGAAACUAAGGGACUUGAGUAUGGGAGAGGGAAGUGGAAUUCCUGGUGUAGCGGUGAAAUGCGUAGAUAUCAGGAGGAACACCGGUGGCGAAGGCGACUUCCUGGACCAAUACUGACGCUGAGGCGCGAAGGCGUGGGGAGCAAACAGGAUUAGAUACCCUGGUAGUCC
rnacentral:rRNA from 1 species